rnacentral:rRNA from 1 species
CGCCCGUCACACCAUGGGAGUGGGUUGCAAAAGAAGUAGGUAGCUUAACCUUCGGGAGGGCGCUUACCACUUUGUGAUUCAUGACUGGGGUGAAGUCGUAACAAGGUAACCGUAGGGGAACCUGCGGUUGGAUCACCUCCUUACCUUAGAGA